GGAGCGGUAGCGGCGGCGGCGGCGGCGGCGGCGGCGGCGGCGGCGGCGGCGUGUGGAGCGAGGGAGCGGCGCGAGCGGCGGCAUGACGCGGAGGCGGAGCAGGCCGAGCGGCGGUGCGGGCAGGCGCGAGCGGGCUCGGGCCGCGGGGCCGCAGAAGCCCCAGGCGCCCGAGCCCCCGCCGCCGCCAAGCCUGGAGGCGGGAGCGGGUGCAGGCCCUCCGGAGGCGCCGGCGGAGCCCGACCACGACGGCCCCAGGGAGGAUGACGAACCCAACCUGGUGCCCGGCCCGCAGGAAGGCAGGCUCCUGCAGGAGUCUUGGAGGGUCGGAUGCGGCGCCGGAUGAGGAUGAGGCGUGGCGGAAGAUGCGUUUGGCUCUGCAGACACUGCAUCGGGCAGCAGGGGACUCUGGGAGGCUGGUGCAGCCAGAAGGCAUGGCUCUUGACAGCCUUCUAGUAGAAUCUCUGGAAUUGUGCAUGUCCCCCCCGCCUCCAGCCAGCCUGUGCAGACUUGCUGCCUGC
rnacentral:lncRNA from 1 species